GACGAACGCUGGCGGCGUGCUUAACACAUGCAAGUCGAACGGAAAGGCCCUGCUUUUGUGGGGUGCUCGAUUGGCGAACGGGUGAGGAACACGUGAGUAACCUGCCCUUGACUUUGGGAUAACUUCAGGAAACUGAGGCUAAUACCAGAUAGGAGCUCCUGCUGCAUUGUGGGGGGUGGAAAUUUGCGGCGGUAGGGGAUGGAUUGGCGGCUUAUCGGCUUGUUGGUGGGGUAGGGGCUUACCAAGGCUUUGACGGGUCGCCGGCAGGUGAGGGUGACCGGCCACAAUGGGACUGAGAUACGGCCCAGACUCCUACGGGAGGCAGAAGUGGGGAAUAUGGCACAACGGGCGGAAGCCUGAUGCAGAAACGCCGCGUGCGGGAUGACGGCCUUCGGGUUGUAAACCGCUUUCGCCUGUGACGAAGCGUGAGUGACGGUAAUGGGUAAAGAAGCACCGGCUAACUACGUG
rnacentral:rRNA from 1 species